AUGAUGGCGGUGGUUAUGUUCGUAAUAUACCUUAUCAAACCUUUGGGUAUCUGUAAUAUUGAUUUUUUUAUAAUCGUUUUUUUUGUAGAGAGAUAUGAUUCAAGCCAUUGUACCACCCUUUUAGUUUCAAAGUUCAAGGAACAUCUUGAUGUUGGAUGUUCAUAUAUAAUGCAGAAUUUCAAAGUGUCUAACAAUGAUCUCUCUUUUAAAUUCACUAAUCAUAGCUGCUUCUGA